rnacentral:rRNA from 1 species
ACUCCUACGGGAGGCAGCAGUGGGGAAUAUUGCACAAUGGGCGCAAGCCUGAUGCAGCCAUGCCGCGUGUAUGAAGAAGGCCUUCGGGUUGUAAAGUACUUUCAGCGGGGAGGAAGGCGAUAAGGUUAAUAACCUUGUUGAUUGACGUUACCCGCAGAAGAAGCACCGGCUAACUCCGUGCCAGCAGCCGCGGUAAUACGGAGGGUGCAAGCGUUAAUCGGAAUUACUGGGCGUAAAGCGCACGCAGGCGGUCUGUCAAGUCGGAUGUGAAAUCCCCGGGCUCAACCUGGGAACUGCAUUCGAAACUGGCAGGCUAGAGUCUUGUAGAGGGGGGUAGAAUUCCAGGUGUAGCGGUGAAAUGCGUAGAGAUCUGGAGGAAUACCGGUGGCGAAGGCGGCCCCCUGGACAAAGACUGACGCUCAGGUGCGAAAGCGUGGGGAGCAAACAGGAUUAGAAACCCUAGUAGUCCCA